rnacentral:misc_RNA from 1 species
UUUCCGUUGGUGAACCAGCGGAAGGAUCAUUACAGAGAUCAUGCCCUCACGGGUAGACCUCCCACCCUGUUUAUAUACUAUUGUUGCUUUGGCAGGCCGCCUUCGGGCUCCCGGCUUCGGCUGGGGUGCGCCUGCCAGAGGACCCCAACUCUUUUGUUUAUGUGUCGUCUGAGUACUAUAUAAUAAGUUAAAACUUUCAACAACGGAUCUCUUGGUUCUGGCAUCGAUGAAGAACGCAGC